rnacentral:rRNA from 1 species
CCCUUAGAUGCUCUGGGCCGCACGCGCGCUACACUGGUCGAUGCAACGAGUUUCUUUCCUUGGCCGACAGGCCUGGGCAAUCUUUGAACAUCGAUCGUGAUCGGGAUAGAUUCUUGUAAUUUUUGAUCUUAAACGAGGAAUUCCUAGUAAACGCAAGUCAUCAGCUUGCAUUGAUUACGUCCCUGCCCUUUGUACACACCGCCCGUCGCACCUACCGAUUGAAUGGUCCGGUGAAGCCUCGGGAAUGUGACCAGUUCGCUUCAUUGUGAGUUGGUUGCGUGAACUUGUCUAAACCUUNUNAUUUAUNGGAAGGUGAANUCGUANCA